UGGGGAAUAUUGGACAAUGGGCGAAAGCCUGAUCCAGCCAUGCCGCGUGUGUGAAGAAGGUCUUCGGAUUGUAAAGCACUUUAAGUUGGGAGGAAGGGCAUUAACCUAAUACGUUAGUGUUUUGACGUUACCGACAGAAUAAGCACCGGCUAACUCUGUGCCAGCAGCCGCGGUAAUACAGAGGGUGCAAGCGUUAAUCGGAAUUACUGGGCGUAAAGCGCGCGUAGGUGGUUUGUUAAGUGGGAUGUGAAAUCCCCGGGCGCAACCUGGGAACUGCAUUCAAAACUGACUGACUAGAGUAUGGUAGAGGGUGGUGGAAUUUCCUGUGUAGCGGUGAAAUGCGUAGAUAUAGGAAGGAACACCAGUGGCGAAGGCGACCACCUGGACUAAUACUGACACUGAGGUGCGAAAGCGUGGGGAGCAAACA
rnacentral:rRNA from 1 species